UAAUAUAAAGACCUAUUUUUCUAAGCAAGCCUAAGAACAGGCCAUAUGUAUUUACCCACAUAAAUAGUUUGAACCGUUAUCAAUUUGGAAUUCUGUCUUUUGGACUGAGCAGUUAGAUUCAUAAGUUGUUAUUGCUAAAUAUGCUCUUUCCCAAACAAU